UACGUAGGGUGCAAGCGUUGUCCGGAAUUAUUGGGCGUAAAGAGCUCGUAGGCGGUUUGUCGCGUCUGCUGUGAAAACGCGAGGCUCAACCUCGCGCCUGCAGUGGGUACGGGCAGACUAGAGUGUGGUAGGGGAGAUUGGAAUUCUCGGUGUAGCAGUGAAAUGCGUAGAUUUCGAGAGGAACGCUCGCAGCGAAAGCGAAGCUCUGGCCAGAUUCUGACGCUGAGGCACGAAGGCUAGGGGAGCGAACGGG
rnacentral:rRNA from 1 species